AGCGAACGCUGGCGGCAGGCUUAACACAUGCAAGUCGAACGGGCACUUCGGUGCUAGUGGCAGUCGGGUGAGUAACACGUGGGAACGUACAUUUCGGUUCGGAAUACUCCAGUGAAACUUGGACUAAUGCCGGAUAAGCCCUUCGGGUGAAAGAUUCAUCGCCGUGAGAUAAGCCCGCGUCUGAUUAGCUAGUUGGUGAGGUAAUGGCUCACCACGGCGACGCUCAGUAGCUGGUCGGAGAGGAUGAUCAGCGACACUGGGACGGGGACGCGGUCCAAACUCCUACGGGAUGGAGCAGUGGGUAAUAUAGGCAUAUGGGGGGAAUGCUGAGGGAGCCAUGCCGGGUGAGUGAUGAAGGCCUUAGGGUUGUAAAGCUCUUUUGUCCGGGAAGAUAAUGACGGUACCGGAAGAAUAAGCCCCGGCUAACUUCGUG
rnacentral:rRNA from 1 species